GUGGUUUUGGUUGUGAAGUUGUCAUGUAAUCCUAGAAUAUGCAUUGUCUGUAAUCUCUCUGGCCACACCCAAAUCUGCAUAAGCUGCAUGCACUCCUUUUGAUCCUUAUCCUAAAAGUAUUGUAAUACAGUCUGCCUGCAAAUCCCAAAAGCCGGCCCCACACACAUCACACUGAGUUUUAGGUUGAGACCAAAACAUAUUCCAUUGAGCCGAAGUUUCCAAGUAUGACAGCUGUCGAACCUGCCCUGAGACUAUUAGAGACCGACUCUAAGUCUCACAGUUAGAUAUAGAUUGUAUUGAAUAUUUAUUGUUAUCUAUUCCUAAAAUGGUGGCUGUAUUUCCUUGUAAUUCUUCCCUAUAUAAAGGGUUUUAAUAAUCGAUACAGGGGCAUUGAUUCCUUCGAUCCUAAUCUACUUUCAUGGUAUCAUCAGAGCUAAGGUCCUGAAACUCUAACAACAUCCCUUGAUUUAAUUUAUUUUUUAUUUUUUUUUAUCUCUGCUGCUUUUGAUUUUUUUUACUCUGUCACCUCCAUCGGAGAUAAACCAGGAUCUUCUGACUCCAAGACUCAUGCUGCCUUGCACCCAGCUUACACAGUCACAAAUAUCCAAACCAAGGUCCGCACUCUUGACAGAUCUAAAGUUACAUACUCGGCUUGGACAAAAUUGUUCACACUUCACGUCGUUGCAUAUAAAGUUGUUGAUCACAUCUAUGACACGAAGCAACCGGAGGGGAGGAGACAGACGAAGGCUACACCCCAUGGAAAGAAAUCGAUGCACUAGUUCUACAGUGGAUCUAUGCUACUGUUCAGAAUUGGCAGAAUCCUAGACAUCAAAACGACCGCCCGUGCAGCUUGGCUCCGGAUUCAAAAGAUUUACCACAGUAACAAAGGAUCAAGAGCGGUGGCACUUGAAAGAGAGUUCUGCAAUUUUUCCCUCAGUACUUGUUCAUCAAUGGACGAUUAUUCUCAACAACUUUCUGAUCUUGCUGACCAACUCAGAGACAUUGAUAAUCCUGUAUCUGAAUCUCGGUUUAUCCUUCACUUGUUCGAGGCCUACCCCCCGAGUUCGACAUCGUCGCAUCCUUUAUCAACCAAAGCCCGAAUAUUAGUUGGGAUACCGCAUGCAACAUGAUUCAAUUAGAGCAACACCGUGUGGCAGCCCGGAAAAACCCGACUCAAUCGGUUCUUGUCGCCCCUCAAGAUAAUCGUUCUGCUGCUCCACCACACAACACCGGUCCUCGUCAACAACCCUAUUAUCACAAUUCUUCUUGAGGAUGGGGUGGCAGUUUUCGUGGUUGAGGCCGCUCCGGCAGAGGUUGUGGUCGCGGCUACUCGCAGCAACAGUGGAAUGCUCCUCAUCAACAAUGGCAAUCGCAUCGGUGGGGACAACAAUCAUGGACACCACCUCCUGGACCCUGCCCGACUCAGCCCACUUAUUCAGCCCCAUAUCACUACCCCACUUACUCGCCUCAAUAGGGCUGCCUAACGAUCCUCCUCAUCAGCCCAAUUUCCUCACCGGUCUACUCCUACUCAUGAAGCUGUUCCAACAACUGAUUUUGGAGGUUAUAAUGUUUUUAAACCUAAUGAUUUAUCUCAGGCUCUCCAACAAAUUCAUUUGAAUAAUCAUGACCCCUAAUGGUAUAUAGACUCUAGAGCAUCUUCUUAUCUUACUACAGAUCAAGGAUCUCAAGAGUGGAGCCCUCCUGUCCCGCCACAAUAGCUCUGGAGAACUCUACCACUUCACAUCACCACCCAUCGCUUCAGCUUGUCACUCUACUACUACCGAUCAGUGGCACAACUGGCUAAGCCACCCUAGCGAGUCAAUUUUGGAUUUACUUCAUACUUGUUUUUCAAUCCAUUGUAAUAAGGCUAUGGCCAAGUAAUUUUGUCACUCGUGUCAACUUUCUAAACACACACGUUUACCAUUUUAUGACUCUCACUCGGUUACCCUUGUACCUUUUGAUUUAAUACAUUGUGAUUUGUGGACUUC